CCCCGGCUGGACCCCCCGCCCGCCUGCCGCCGCCGCCCGUGGGCGCCCCCAGGUCCUGCGGCCCCCAGCCCCCGCCACCCCGGCGCCAGCCCCUCUCACCCUUUCAUUCUCUGCCCGGGGCCUGACGCGGGCCGGCGGAUCCCCGGCCUCACAUCAGAGUGAGAGGCGCUGGCAAUGGACUAGGAAGCUCGGCUGCCGCUGCUACUGCUCCCCCCUGGGCUCCGGCGAGAGCCUUUCCCUGUCAAGCAAGAGGGGUGAGGAUCAUAUUUUUAUUUUGGAAACUAAAAAGUGCUCCCAGGGUCGGUGAUUAUUAAGGGGAAAUCCCUGAAUAUACUCUCCAGCCAAGAAGGCAGGGCUGCCGGGGCUGCACAAGAAGAGGCAGCAGCCUCCUACAGCACCACUA
rnacentral:lncRNA from 1 species